rnacentral:rRNA from 1 species
GUAGGGUGCAAGCGUUGUUCGGAAUUAUUGGGCGUAAAGCGCGUGUAGGUGGUUACGCAAGUCGGAUGUGAAAUCCCUGGGCUCAACCGAGGAAGUGCAUCCGAAACUACAUAACUAGAGGACGGUAGAGGGAGGUGGAAUUCCUAGUGUAGAGGUGAAAUUCGUAGAUAUUAGGAGGAAUACCGGCGGCGAAGGCGGCCUUCUGGACCGGCCCUGACACUGAGACGCGAAAGCGUGGGGAGCAAACAGGAUUAGAUACCCUGGUAGUCCACGCCGUAAACGAUGAGUACUAGGUGUUGCGGGUAUUGACCCCCCUGCAGUGCCGAAGCAAACGCAUUAAGUACUCCGCCUGGGAAGUACGGUCGCAAGAUUA